GACGAACGCUGGCGGCGUGCUUAACACAUGCAAGUCGAGCGACUGCAUUCUUUUCGGAGGGUGUAUGGAGCGGCGAACGGGUGAGUAACACGUGGGUGACCUGCCCUCAGCUCUGGGAUAAGCCUGGGAAACCGGGUCUAAUACUGGAUAUGACUCCAUGACGCAUGUUGUGGGGUGGAAAGCCUUGUGCGGCUGAGGAUGGGCCCGCGGCCUAUCAGCUGUUGGUGGGGUGAUGGCCUACCAAGGCGACGACGGGUAGCCGGCCUGAGAGGGCGACCGGCCACACUGGGACUGAGACACGGCCCAGACUCCUACGGGAGGCAGCAGUGGGGAAUCUUGGACAAUGGGCGCAAGCCUGAUCCAGCCAUGCCGCGUGGGUGAAG
rnacentral:rRNA from 1 species